CCUACGGGAGGCAGCAGUAGGGAAUAUUGCUCAAUGGGGGAAACCCUGAAGCAGCAACGCCGCGUGGAGGAUGAAGGUUUUAGGAUUGUAAACUCCUAUGUUUGAGAAGAUUAUUACGGUAUCUUACGAAUAAGCACCGGGUAACUCCGGGCCAGCAGCCGCGGUAAUACGGCGGGUGCACGCGUUACUCGGGAUCACUGGGCGUAAAGAGUGCGUAGGCGGGGUAAUAAGUCAGAUGUGAAAUUCUGUAGCUUAACUACAGAACUGCAUUUGACACUGGUACGCUGGAGUGUGGUAGAGGUAGGUGGAAUUCUUGGGGUAGGGGUAAAAUGCGUAGAGAUCAAGAGGAAUACUGAUUGCGAAGGCGACCUGCUGGAACAUUACUGACGCUGAGGCACGAAAGCGUGGGGAGCAAACAGGAUUAGAUACCCUGGUAGUC
rnacentral:rRNA from 1 species